UACGUAGGGGGCAAGCGUUGUCCGGAAUUAUUGGGCGUAAAGAGCGUGUAGGCGGUCCGGUAAGUCAGCUGUGAAAGUCAAGGGCUCAACCCUUGAAAGCCGGUUGAUACUGUCGGGCUAGAGUCCGGAAGAGGCGAGUGGAAUUCCCGGUGUAGCGGUGAAAUGCGCAGAUAUCGGGGAGGAACACCAAUGGCGAAGGCAGCUCGCUGGGACGGUACUGACGCUGAGACGCGAAAGCGUGGGGAGCAA
rnacentral:rRNA from 1 species